GACGAACGCUGGCGGCGUGCUUAACACAUGCAAGUCGAGCGGUAAGGCCCUUUCGGGGGUACACGAGCGGCGAACGGGUGAGUAACACGUGGGUGACCUGCCCUCAGCUCUGGGAUAAGCCUGGGAAACCGGGUCUAAUACUGGAUAUGACUCCAUGACGCAUGUUGUGGGGUGGAAAGCCUUGUGCGGCUGAGGAUGGGCCCGCGGCCUAUCAGCUUGUUGGUGGGGUGAUGGCCUACCAAGGCGACGACGGGUAGCCGGCCUGAGAGGGCGACCGGCCACACUGGGACUGAGACACGGCCCAGACUCCUACGGGAGGCAGCAGUGGGGAAUCUUGCGCAAUGGGCGGAAGCCUGACGCAGCGACGCCGCGUGAGGGAUGACGGCCU
rnacentral:rRNA from 1 species